rnacentral:rRNA from 1 species
GGGCGGCUGGCCUAACACAUGCAAGUCGAACGGUAACAGGAAGCAGCUUGCUGCUUCGCUGACGAGUGGCGGACGGGUGAGUAAUGUCUGGGAAACUGCCUGAUGGAGGGGGAUAACUACUGGAAACGGUAGCUAAUACCGCAUAAUGUCGCAAGACCAAAGAGGGGGACCUUCGGGCCUCUUGCCAUCAGAUGUGCCCAGAUGGGAUUAGCUAGUAGGUGGGGUAACGGCUCACCUAGGCGACGAUCCCUAGCUGGUCUGAGAGGAUGACCAGCCACACUGGAACUGAGACACGGUCCAGACUCCUACGGGAGGCAGCAGUGGGGAAUAUUGCACAAUGGGCGCAAGCCUGAUGCAGCCAUGCCGCGUGUAUGAAGAAGGCCUUCGGGUUGUAAAGUACUUUCAGCGGGGAGGAAGGCGAUGCGGUUAAUAACCACGUCGAUUGACGUUACCCGCAGAAGAAGCACCGGCUAACUCCGUGCCAGCCGCCGCGG